rnacentral:rRNA from 1 species
AGCGAACGCUGGCGGCAGGCUUAACACAUGCAAGUCGAACGGGCAUAGCAAUAUGUCAGUGGCAGACGGGUGAGUAACGCGGGGGAACGUACCUUUUGGUUCGGAACAACACAGGGAAACUUGUGCUAAUACCGGAUAAGCCCUUACGGGGAAAGAUUUAUCGCCGAAAGAUCGGCCCGCGUCUGAUUAGCUAGUUGGUAGGGUAAUGGCCUACCAAGGCGACGAUCAGUAGCUGGUCUGAGAGGAUGAUCAGCCACAUUGGGACUGAGACACGGCCCAAACUCCUACGGGAGGCAGCAGUGGGGAAUAUUGGACAAUGGGCGAAAGCCUGAUCCAGCCAUGCCGCGUGAGUGAUGAAGGCCGUAGGGUUGUAAAGCGCUUUUGUGCGGGAAGAUAAUGACGGUACCGCAAGAAUAAGCCCCGGCUAACUUCGUG